rnacentral:rRNA from 1 species
GAUUAACGCUGGCGGCGCGCUUAACACAUGCAAGUCGAGCGAGAACCAGGCCUUCGGGCCUGGGGAAAGCGGCGAACGGGUGAGUAACACGUGGGCAACCCACCCUUGGUAUCGGGAUAGCCCGGGGGAACCCGGAUUAAUACCGAAUGGCCCAGCAGCUCUUCGGGGCGGCUGGAAAAGGUAGCUUCGGCCUCUGACCAAGGCCGGGCCCGCGGCGGAUUAGCUUGUUGGGGGGAUAACGGCCUACCAAGGCGACGAUCCGUAGCUGGUCUGAGAGGACGAUCAGCCACACUGGGACUGAGACACGGCCCAGACUCCUACGGGAGGCAGCAGUGGGGAAUCUUGCGCAAUGGGCGAAAGCCUGACGCAGCGACGCCGCGUGGGGGAAGAAGGCUCUCGGGUUGUAAACCCCUUUCAGGAAGGACGAAGCCACUCGGGUUAAUAGCCCAGAGGGUGACGGUACUUCCAGAAGAAGCCCCGGCUAACUACGUGCCAGCCGCCGCAGUAA